AUUUCCAGUAUGUUUUUAUUUUUCUAUCUCUCUCUCUGAAGAUUUUAAUAUGCAGAGGCUUGGGGACCUUCUACGGGAUUCAGAGAAAAUAUUGUUUAUCUAACAUAUUACUUUAGUUCCUUGUUAGUUAUUUGUCUUUCAUGUGCUCUCAGGCCGUUAUAAUCUUCACGUUCCGGUGCUAACAUGCAAACAUUGCAAUAAGCAAUGGGCCCCAGAAGUCGGUGUCUUUGUAAGGAGUGGUUACUGGAAUGUCAUUGAAAGCCUUCACAGCAAUGUUGGACCAGAGAACAAAGCUGUUUGGAAGAACUGGCAAAGUGAAUGCAGAUGCUUUUCAGAGGAGCUUUCUGCAAUAUGUGUACUGCAACUCUGAAGAGGACCAACUUCUGGAAAAGGAGCCAUUUGUCUGUCCAGCCUGUAGUCCUGAAACGGUGGCUGUUUCAGUGGAUGGCAACAGAAAACUCUACAGGUUCCAGAAAGCAAACCAGUGAGUUUUAUGUACAUAUUAAAAACAGCCAAUGAAGUUAAUGUAUGUACUUGCUAUUAACAUUAUCAUAAUAAUAUAGUUCUCAUUUUGUUAUUUAAAAUUAAGCUGUUGAUACUGUAGCUGUUGAAUAUAUCCAUGUUAGACAUUGUAACCUUGUUUUUUUUUUUUUUUUUAAGUGUCAUAUAAAUACAAUUAUUAUCAUUUAUUAUUAUUAUUAUUAUUAUGUAAAACUUACUACAGUGGUUAUCUAGAAUACAUUUUGUUGCAGGAGUGAAGAGUCAGGGUUCUUUGAUGGAGUGUUUUUAUCCCAGGACUCUGAGGUGUCCAGUUUUGUUGAGGAAGUCCGGGGGGCUGUCAAGAGUGUAAGUUUUCAAUCAGGCUGAGCAGAGGGUAUCUCUGGCUUAUUUUAUAACUAAUUGGAAGUAAAGUUGGAAACACUGUAUCCUUAUAAGGUGUUCGGAUGAGGGAAUCUUUGAUC
ensembl:lncRNA